rnacentral:rRNA from 1 species
UGACNUGAGUGCAGAAGGGGAGAGUGGAAUUCCAUGUGUAGCGGUGAAAUGCGUAGAUAUAUGGAGGAACNCCAGUGGCGAAAGCGGCUCUCUGGUCUGUCACUGACGCUGAGGCUCGAAAGCGUGGGUAGCGANCAGGAUUAGAUACCCUGGUAGUCCACGCCGUAAACGAUGAGUGCUAGGUGUUAGGCCCUUUCCGGGGCUUAGUGCCGGAGCUAACGCAAUAAGCACUCCGCCUGGGGAGUACGACCGCAAGGUUGAAACUCAAAGGAAUUGACGGGGGCCCGCACAAGCGGUGGAGCAUGUGGUUUAAUUCGAAGCAACGCGAAGAACCUUACCAGGUCUUGACAUCCCGAUGCUAUUCUUAGAGAUAGGAAGUUACUUCGGUACAUCGGAGACAGGUGGUGCAUGGUUGUCGUCAGCUCGUGUCGUGAGAUGUUGGGUUAAGUCCCGCAACGAGCGCAACCCUUAUUGUUAGUUGCCAUCAUUAAGUUGGGCACUCUAGCGAGACUGCCGGUAAUAAACCGGAGGAAGGUGGGGAUGACGUCAAAUCAUCAUGCCCCUUAUGACCUGGGCUACACACGUGCUACAAUGGUCGGUACAACGAGUUGCGAGCCGGUGACGGCAAGCUAAUCUCUGAAAGCCGAUCUCAGUUCGGAUUGGAGGCUGCAACUCGCCUCCAUGAAGUCGGAAUCGCUAGUAAUCGCGGAUCAGCACGCCGCGGUGAAUACGUUCCCGGGCCUUGUACACACCGCCCGUCACACCACGAGAGUUUGUAACACCCGAAGUCGGUGAGGUANCCUUUUAGGG